rnacentral:rRNA from 1 species
AUGGGAAAAUGGGGGCACCCUGACCGCCUGCCGCGUGAGUGAUGAAGGCCUUCGGGUUGUAAAGCUCUUUUGGCGGGGACGAUGAUGACGGUACCCGCAGAAUAAGCCCCGGCUAACUUCGUGCCAGCAGCCGCGGUAAGACGAAGGGGGCUAGCGUUGUUCGGAAUUACUGGGCGUAAAGCGCGUGUAGGCGGUUUUCCAAGUUGGGUGUGAAAGCCUUGGGCUUAACCCAAGAAAUGCACUCAGUACUGGAAGACUAGAGGACCGGAGAGGAUAGUGGAAUUCCCAGUGUAGUGGUGAAAUACGUAGAGAUUGGGAAGAACAGGGGGGGGGGGAAGGCGGCUAUCUGGACGGUUUCUGACGCUAAGACGCGAAA